UUUGGAUACCAUCAAGACACCUGAAACCUUGUCAUGAGCCAGAUACUGAGGAAGAGAUUUUGGGAAGAACCCAAGGACCCCCCAGUUGCAGCCAUGUCAAGACUGACAAUAAGGAAGACACCAGUCCCAGCAAGCAACAUUCAUCGGGCACAGCCACCCAUGUGGGGCCAGAUCAAGAAGUUGACACAGAUGGCGGAAGAAAAUCUGAAGAAAGCGGAUGACCAGCUACAAUGAGUAAUCUAAUGCUGCAGAUGUGGAUCCUGAAUCCUGCGAGAAGUAGCCCACCA
rnacentral:lncRNA from 1 species